rnacentral:rRNA from 1 species
AGAGUUUGAUCCUGGCUCAGGAUGAACGCUGGCGGUAUGCUUAACACAUGCAAGUCGAACGGAGUACUUCGGUACUUAGUGGCGGACGGGUGAGUAACGCGUGAGAAUCUGCCUUCAGGUUCGGGACAACCACUGGAAACGGUGGCUAAUACCGAAUGUGCAGCAAUGUGAAAAAUUUAUUGCCUGAAGAUGAGCUCGCGUCUGAUUAGCUAGUAGGUGUGGUAAGAGCGCACUUAGGCGACGAUCAGUAGCUGGUCUGAGAGGAUGAUCAGCCACACUGGGACUGAGACACGGCCCAGACUCCUACGGGUGGCAGCAGUCGAGAAUUUUUCACAAUGGGGGCAACCCUGAUGGAGCGACGCCGCGUGGAGGAUGAAGGCUUUCGGGUUGUAAACUCCUGUCAUUUGGGAACAAGGUGCAUCGAUUAACUGUCGAUGCAUUGAUAGUACCAGAAGAGGAAGAGACGGCUAACUCUGUGCCAGCAGCCGCGGUAAUACAGAGGUCUCAAGCGUUGUUCGGAUUCAUUGGGCGUAAAGGGUGCGCAGGUGGCAGUUCAAGUCUGCUGUCAAAGACCGGGGCUUAACUUCGGAAAGGCAGUGGAAACUGAACAGCUAGAGUAUGGUAGGGGCAGAGGGAAUUCCUGGUGUAGCGGUGAAAUGCGUAGAGAUCAGGAAGAACAUCGGUGGCGAAGGCGCUCUGCUGGACCAUAACUGACACUCAGGGACGAAAGCUAGGGGAGCGAAUGGGAUUAGAUACCCCCGUAGUCC